AUCUGGAUCCGCUGCUUCCACGCUGCCGACCGGCGUCCUCCGCCACGCCAUCCACCGUUGUGCCGUCCUCCCCGCACCGCGGACUGCCUCCUCUCCGCCGUGCCCUCCUCCUCGCGCCGCCCGAGUCCUCCACGCAUGGUUCGCCGACGCCGAGGCCCAUGCCAGCCUGCUCUGGGCCCGCGCCACCGACCGCGACGGGCUUCUCAGCAUGCUCCUCGCCACCACGGGCAACAACCGGGAGGUGGAGGACGCGCGGGAGGCGGGGUAGCGUCAGAAUCAGCGCACGUCGGAUCCGGCAUGCUACUCCUCUCCCUUCCCAAGUCGCCCUGGAUCUCGCGAUGCUGGAGGUGGCCGCCGCCGUUGCUAUGGAGGGCUUGCCACCCGCCUUCGGAGUCCCACGUCCCCGAUUCGACGGGAUUGCCAAGCCGAGGUCAUCAUCUUUCGACAGGCUCCUUCAUCACUUCUGGUUUCCCACAGUGGCUAUGGGUUGUCUCUCCCUCUCGAUCCUGCACUCCUCCUCCUUCGGUUCAGGUUUCAGGCCGUGGCAGAGGGUCGCCUCUCCAUAUCCAUCCUUCCAAUCUGGAGCACAGGUGGAGAGCCUGGCUGUGUGCGGCGGAGAUGGCGCCCGCAUCUGCGCCCUAUAAGCCCGGAUAAGGCUCCUCCGAGGCCAUGACCUCUGCAGGAUUCGAUAGCCAUGCCCUGGAGAGAGAGCUCACAAAUUAGUGCAGUUAACAAGAAGCAAUUGAACCGAAGAUCUUACAAGAUGGCUUACAAAUCUAGGUAUCAAACAGAAUUUCGGUAAUAUAUAUUAUGUAUACGGUACUUGGAAGGGAUGCUUACCAGGUAAAUACCACUUAAAAUCUAGGUCGAGUAACUAUCCAGUUGCAGAUUCACUGCAAGUUUGUGCGACAGAUAUACAUACAUAUAUAUAUAUAUAUAUAUAUAGAUCAACUAGGAUUUAGGUUUAACUCUAUGGUACAAUUAACUAAGGAGAAGAGGGUAGAUUGUACUACCUGAUUGCUUGUUGUACAUCCGAAAGAGAUUCAGUUGCUCUGAAUAUUCUGAUUUGCCACAUGGUCGCCAGUGUGAAUAGCGCCUUCAUGAGCGAAUCUUUUAAUGACGUAAUUACCAUCCAGCCAUCCUGCCUUUCCAACGAACAACAUACAAGCUUUGUUCUCUGAAGUUUAAGAAUAAUGCAACCAUCUUGCCUUUCCAAAGAAUAACAUAUAUAUUUUUAACCUUAAUAGUGCAGCCAGCUAGUUGUAGUGCACUUAUCUCUAAGCCCAGCUCCUCUUUAAUCCAUAAACUUAUCCGUAACCAAAGGCUAGAUGUAUAUUCAAUGUAAUUCUAUUCAUUGAGUUGAGUUUCUUACUUCGGUAUGGCCUGGGGUAUAGUAAGUUCCAUUUCAAUGUUCCAGGGACCACUUCCAGUAAGUUUCCACUCGACAUCAGUAGUAAUGUCCACUACCUGUAUCAGCAUGGUUAUAGCAGUAGAUAAUCAGGGCAAAUAUCAUAAGCAAAUUACAACUUUAGAAUCUCUGAAUUCUAAUAGUUUUCUAAUAUCCUUCAAAACAUGAUGUGUGAGCGCUCUUUAGAUAUUCCAGUAAGUUUCUUUCUACAGGUGUUCUUACAUCUCCUGAAUGGAUGAUUCUCUUUGCAUUUCGGCCGCUCGGCCCACUUCCGAUGAUCCACUACAUCAUCAUUGUUUGGUAACUGGAGGGGAGGCCGCAAGGCGGGACAGCCAGCAGCGGCAUUCUGUUCGGGGAUGCGUGGAUCUGGUGAUGCUGGAGCGUGGUAACAAGAAACAUCAUAUCCGCAACGGCGUUUCAAAUAGCCAAUUUACCUUUCUCCCUAAAGGUUUCUUGCUCUGCUGUUAGUAUCACUGGUCUUGGGGUUUAGAUUUUGUCAAUAUCAAAAUCUGGGUACUUACCAGCAAACGAGUUGUUGAUCUAUUUACUUAAUCAAGUUCAUUUCUGCUAUGUUCUUCAGUCAAGCUUUAACUUCUAGCCUUGAUUAAAUGGCAAUGAUAUUCUCCAAAACCUACUGAUGUCAGAAAUCCUGCUACCCAACAGGAUGGUCUGCCAAGUGAUGUGAGCACUACUCAGUGUGUGGCAGACGUUCAUUAGGAUUGCAAACAAGAUUUGAGAUGUAGGUGUUGGUCAAAUUUUGGAAAAUUAUGGGUCUGCAGGUACAAAAUUACAUGUAGGAAAUUUUACGGUUUUCUGUGAUUAAAGAUUCAAGCAUGAAUGUGAAUAUAGUUCCAAGGUUUUUUUGCUAACAUGUUUUCUUAUAUUUACUUCUCUUUGUAUGAUAUUGGAAUUUAUAUGCUUACUUAACUGCUCAAAGAUGUCUGUUUUGUUUGUCGAUUGGAAGUUACCACAUUAAGCUUGAGUCCAUGUGAAUUGACACACUAUUUGGAACAAAAUAAAACUUAGUACUGUACUACAGUUUGGUGGUUAAAUUACUCCUUACCUCGACAUUCUAAUAAUCUGUAAUAAGGAUAGUUCGCAUUGGUCAUGCAAGAUCACUUGCGGGAAAUUGGUGGCUUGUUGUUGUUGUGCUUCACAAUUUCUGUUGUUUCUAUUUAUUUUACACUUUUUUAUUUACUGCAAUUUGCAAAACAGAAGUACUAGCAUAACUGGAAUUUCUGUUUGUGUUUUUUACAAAGGGAACAUAGUCUGAUGGGACAGCUCCUAAAUCAAUGUCACAUAAGGCAACAACAUAUUUGGAGGAGUUGAAGGAGUUGAGAUGAGUUGAUCACAUCCUCAUGUGUCUUUGCAUGUUGCAACAGGGGCGGUGUACUUUCUUUAGAUAGAAGAACUUAUGGGGCACAUCAGAUGUACUGACCACUCCUUACUCCCAAGAACAGGAGUAACAAUUUUUCUCAAGUUCUGUUGUUGUAUUGUACUAGAAGUAUGUUCAUCAAACUGCCUUAUCAACCAUUUGCUAUUAACCCUCAAACAUCUAACUUUUUUUUACAUCCUCAAACAUUUUAUAUAUUUCUUAGCAACUGCCUUCUGACCCUCCCCUUCACCCUUUUCGGAUAGUUUUUUGUGUGAAUACCCUUUCCUGAUAGCUAUGUCCCAGCAUCUGCAUCAGAACAAGAGAAAGGGGAAGAUGAUCUAUUGGCCACAGAGACAUUGCUUCCUGCAAUUGACCAUAUUAUCGAUCAAGGGGCAACAAAAAUAUAGAGAUUUCAAUUAAUUUUACCGUCGACCAAGUAAACUAUGCAAUUUAUGAGUUGUGAUGAUGAAAGAAGAAGAAGAAAUAUGAUUUAAUGGCAAAAAAUAAGUCAACAAUGUUGUCUGAUGUGCAUAAGGAUUUGGUACAUGUUUGACAUAAGAAUAUUGUGGGAAGAAAGAAGUAUUGGGAUUGCGUAUCCAAGCAAUUGAUGCCAUGGA